rnacentral:rRNA from 1 species
GACGAACGCUGGCGGCGUGCCUAACACAUGCAAGUCGAGCGAAUGAAGUUCCUUCGGGAACGGAUUUAGCGGCGGACAGGUGAGUAACACGUGGGCAACCUGCCUCAUAGAGGGGAAUAGCCUUCCGAAAGGGAGAUUAAUACCGCAUAAGAUUGUAGUACCGCAUGGUACAGCAAUUAAAGGAGCAAUCCGCUAUGAGAUGGGCCCGCGGCGCAUUAGCUAGUUGGUGAGGUAACGGCUCACCAAGGCGACGAUGCGUAGCCGACCUGAGAGGGUGAUCGGCCACAUUGGGACUGAGACACGGCCCAGACUCCUACGGGAGGCAGCAGUGGGGAAUAUUGCACAAUGGGGGAAACCCUGAUGCAGCAACGCCGCGUGAGUGAUGACGGCCUUCGGGUUGUAAAGCUCUGUCUUCAGGGACGAUAAUGACGGUACCUGAGGAGGAAGCCACGGCUAACUACGUG